AACUCACUCACUGUCACGAGAACAGCACAGAAAAAAACCGCCGUCAUGAUUCAAUUACCUCCACCUGGUUUCUUCCUUCAUAUAUGGAGAUUAGGGGGAUUACAGUUCAAGAUGAGAUUUAGGUGGGGACACGAAGCCUAACCAUAUCAUUCCACUUACUCCAGGAAGAAAUUUUAUUGCUUUCUGCAUUCUUGAUGUUCAUUCCAAAUAGAGCAAUAAUUCUCACCCUGGGCCAUAACUGGAAUCACCUGGAGAGGGUUUAAAACUACCGAUAGCUGGAUUUCUCACCCUGACAUCUGAUUUAGGGUAACUGUUUUCAGCUUUGCAGUUUUUGGACUCAUGGAAGUAAGCAUAAGUUUGAAACUAAAACCAAUAUGAAUACAGACCCAUAAUUGGAAUUCUUAGUGAGUCUUAUUUUUCUCCUAAGUUAAGACUGAGGCUGACCUAUUUAAUUGUCAUCUCCCUCUACAGGUGCUAUCUCCAACUUAGGAUAUGUUCUGAUGAUAUAAUUCUACUGACACAAAUAGCAUACUAAAUUGUGAAUAUUUUACUAAAGACCUUCACUGAGCAUUCCUAAUGAGUGCGGAUGCAUGAUGCAAAGAGCUGGCACUUCUCAUCAGUGGAGCACAGGAAAGAAGAUCUAUGAUGCUCAAUUAAAGCUCCAAUCAAGAUUAUGAUGUGAGAAAAAUGUCAGGGGAUUGUCAGUCCAACACGUGAUUGAAGGAGAUAGCUAGGGAAAUAUUUCUCGAUGCCACCGAAGACAGGAAGUGAUGGCAUUUCUCCACCUCAAGGAAAAUGGAUGUUCUAAAAGCACAAAGAACAUGACUCAUGUAGCACUUUGUGUCACUUUAACGAAGAUGCUUCCUUAGUAAUCAGAUGAACAGCCAACAUAGGUGCAAAUGGAUGUGCAAAUAUUCAUCUGAAUCAGGCAGAAGGUUAAACGGCCCUCAGAUGUCUAAUCUAGAUGCUUCACUCUGUCAGUGAUGCUUCCUGCCCUCGAACAUCAGAC
rnacentral:lncRNA from 1 species